rnacentral:lncRNA from 1 species
CUCAUCUGACAGGUCCAUUCCAGGCAAGAUGAUUUUGCAUGAAUUCCUUGCAAACAUCUCUGCAACUGCUUCAUAGCCAUUUCUUGAGGCCGUGUUAUAGAAGCCGGCAGUCAGUUCAGAAGGGUGUGCCCGGGUUUUGUACCACGAGUGCAUCAAUGGGACUUUCCCAUAAACAUUGACUUCAGUAUCACCAAAAAUGGACGAGACAAGAGAGAGGAGACGAUUGCCGUGAGAUACAAGCUCGCUUGAGUACCAGGAAAGGAAGAAGUCACCAUAAGGACUUUCCCACGACCCACCGUGAUCCUUGAAGAAACUAUUUGAGUUCGGUGCCUGAUCAUAAGUAGGGGCAUCAUGUGGACCACCUAGACCCCAUAAUGGGUUUCCAUUUGCUUCAGCAUAUUGCUUAAGAAGGUUAAGCAUGUUUGUGUCAUAACAUUGGAACUCCCCGACUCCAGUAAUCGUGCCACUCUUGGCAGGCUUGUGGU